rnacentral:tRNA from 19 species
GCCUCCGUAGCUCAGGGGAUAGAGCGUCUGCCUCCGGAGCAGAAGGCCGCAGGUUCGAAUCCUGCCGGGGGCACGA